rnacentral:rRNA from 1 species
AGCAGCCGCGGUAAUUCCAGCUCCAAUAGCGUAUAUUAAAGUUGUUGCAGUUAAAAAGCUCGUAGUUGAAUUUCGGGAUCAUCAGGUCGGUCGUGCCUCCGGUAUGUACUGGUCUCGAUGGUUCCUCCUUCUUGUAGAACCGUAAUGCCAUUAAUUUGGUGUUGCGGGGAAACAGGACUGUUACUUUGAAAAAAUUAGAGUGUUUAAAGCAGGCGAUCGCUUGAAUACAUUAGCAUGGAAUAAUGAAAUAGGACGUUCGAUCCUAUUUUGUUGGUUUCUAGGAUUGACGUAAUGAUUAAUAGGGAUAGUUGGGGGCAUUAGUAUUCAAUUGUCAGAGGUGAAAUUCUUGGAUUUAUUGAAGACUAACUACUGCGAAAGCAUUUGCCAAGGAUGUUUUCAUUAAUCAAGAACGAAAGUUAGGGGAUCGAAGACGAUCAGAUACCGUCGUAGUCUUAACCAUAAACUAUGCCGACUAGGGAUCGGAUGAUGCUAAUUUUUUAAUGA